AAGACUAUACUUUCAGGGAUCAUUUCUAUAGUUCAUUACUAGUAGAGUACCCAAAAUCACGAGGAGGAGACAUAGCAUUCUCUCCUGAGCAUGAAGACAGCUCUUGCCAUUGAUGCUCGUUCUUCUCUUCCUAUGGGAGAGUGAGAGGCAGAGAACACAGUCUGAAUGGG
ensembl:snoRNA U3 Small nucleolar RNA U3